rnacentral:lncRNA from 13 species
AUGCAUUGGCGAUGUCUUAUUUUCUCUACAGGUAUUGCAGAGUAGAGGAUCUCCCUCAGGAGUACUCUGGAAGCCCCCAGGUGAGUGUGUGUUGUCCCCCAGGCCAGAUGGAGCAAAGCACAGAUGGACAUGAAGGCCAGUGUAUCCCCCCGUGCUUCCAACCACAGUCCCAUAACAAAGCCCUGCAAAGGAUUUAUGCACUGGAGGCCACUGUAUUAUUAUUGAAAUUCAGCCAGCAGUACACAACCCCGCCACCCUGUGCAUGAGGAAAAGAUACACAGAUUGAAGAUCAGGACAGAGACGUCAACUGCAUGUGAGUAUGUCUUUCUUGAUGCUGUUUUAGGCAGUCCUAGCAAUGCCCUGUUAUUCAUGAUAUUCAUGGAAAACAGCCUGGAAUCUGACCAGACAGUAGAGCCACAUGUCUUGAAAAACCUACAGACCUGACCAUAGAAUAUGUACAUAUUUUGGGAGAGACUAUGGUUUAAGGCUCUUUGGAAACAUUGCCCGAUAUUUGGUGACAAUGCAUAUACCAUCUUUAUUAAACACUGAUGGUUUCCAUUCUCCUCACAUUUUGAUAGCUUGCUCUUUUUCAUUAUUUUUUUCUCUUGUUUACUAUAGAAGACACGUAAACAGUGAUUUAAAUGUUGAAAUUUAUCCAAAUACCAUUUAAGAGCUGUGAUCUCUUAAAAGGACUAUAUUACUCCCCAAGUUGGAGUCAAUGAAACACGGUUUUGUCAGUCCAUAAGCAUUGCAUGACUGGAGAACAACUUACAGUGUAAAUAGUCCUCUGUCCUGGGUCUUUCACAAGGCUUAACUCAACUCUGCCAGAGACAACAGCACACAGCAACAGAAAUUGCUGUAGUGAGAAUGAAAGGAACUUGCCCCAUAUACAAGUCCUGGCCAUGGUAAUCAACCACCCUUCAAAAAAGCUUGAAAUCUUGAGGUGUCUGCAUUAUGACAAAAUCCAUUGGAUGCUCCCAUCCAUUUUUGUUUGAGAGACAAAGUUGUGUUACAAUGAUCUGAAUAGGAACAAUGCUUUAUCUGAAGCAUUAUAUGUAGUAAAAAUGGUCCCUAUGACACUAUGCUCAUAUAUUAACUUUUGGAGAUCACUCAUGUCUGAUUGCUUAAUGGCAAACCUUACUGCUAAGAUGAAGCUGACAGAAUUCCUUUGUAAUGAUCUCCCAAAACUUGGGAGUACUUGGUAGUACUAAGCUCUGACUGUGUACCGACCCCUCUAGAACCUCUCCCCAGUACACCAGGAAAGCAGGGAGUAGCUCCUGAGAUACGUAUGUUCAUGUUCCAGAAGUACCUUUGGUAUAUCAGAUACCCUAAGCCUAAAAUUAGCCCGGUUUUAAACUUAGAUACGGCAUUGGCAAACUUUACAACAG